ACACCAGGAAUAACCGACUUCACUCCAACCAAUCUGAAUUCACAGAAAUCCUGUAAUCACAGACUUCCUCUGUCAAAACACACACACACAACUCUCAAUAAACAACAAUCAUAAUCUUCCAUCUAUAAUCAAUCUUCCAAUAGCUUUUCAUAUAAUUCAAUCACUUAGUACUCCAAUUACAUAAUCAAUAACUCAUAAAUCAAUCUUUGAUUUAUUCCACAGACUCACUUUUUAGUAUUCAAAAACUAUCCAUUACUCUUCAAUAACAAAGAAAACAAAGAGGAAGCACCA
rnacentral:lncRNA from 1 species